rnacentral:rRNA from 1 species
CUCCUACGGGAGGCAGCAGUGGGGAUUUUUGGACAAGGGGCGAAAGCGUGAUCCAGCCAUGCCGCGUGCAGGAUGAAGGCCUUCGGGUUGUAAACUGCUUUUGUACGGAAUGAAAAGCCUCUUUCUAAUAAAGAGGGGUCAUGACGGUACCGUAAGAAUAAGCACCGGCUAAUUACGUGCCAGCAGCCGCGGUAAUACGUAGGGUGCAAGCGUUAAUCGGAAUUACUGGGCGUAAAGCGUGCGCAGGCGGUUUUGUAAGACAGAGGUGAAAUCCCCGGGUUCAACCUGGGAACUGCCUUUGUGACUGCAAGGCUGGAGUCCGGCAGAGGGGGAUGAAAUUCCGCGUGUAGCAGUGAAAUGCGUAGAUAUGCGGAGGAACACCGAUGGCGAAGGCAAUCCCUUGGGC